GGAAUGAGUAUUUCUAGAGCAGUGAGGUAAUUAGAACAAUUAGAAGCAAAUGCAGAGUAAUUGCAGUGCAUUUUUCUUUUAGCUAUUUAUACAGUGAAAGUUCUAGGGCAAGAACUAUGCUUUAGAUGUGCUAGCUUCAGCACUGGGUACAGUGUUGGUGCCACAAAAAAGGGCAGGGGGUACAAGUAAAUUUUGUAACAUUUCCAAAGAAAAUUCACUUAGGGAAGGGGUAUUGCACUUACGUAGCUUUAUAAAUAUUGUAGUUUCAGAACAUUGAAAAGGUAAUUUUUUAACUUUUAGGUUAUCCCACUGAAAAGCAUGAUUUAGUAGUCUGAAGCAAAUUGCUUGUUUUCUCUGAAAUUCAGAUGUUUGUCAGACCUUUGAUGUGUGAUGCAUCAGACAAUAAGAAACCUUCCUCGUGUUCUCCUAAGUGUACAACAGAAGUUUGUGGGAAAGCCUUGAGAAAUAAUGGAUGACAUAGAUGAAAAAAGUAAAUACACUGAAGAAAAUGUAAUGUGAGAAGAGACAAAGGUGAACAGACAUAAGUGUAAUUUGUUUUCCUAAAGUAGAGAAGCCAACCAAUGGAAAGAAAGAAGAUGAGAAGAGCACUUUGUUCUUAAAAAAAAAAAAAUCUAUCUAUCUAUCUAUCUAUCUAUCUAUCUAUCAUCUUCUAUCUAUCAGUCCAGAAUAAUCAAUAUUUGUAUAUGGUCUGGCAACUUAUUAAAUUUCUAAGAAAACAGAAAUACAUAUUCAGGAGCAAAGGCAUAAUAUUUGUAAGGAUUAAAAGUUUUGGCUGACUUCAGACUUUUUCACUGCAACAUAAAUACCAGAAGACAAAGAAAUGAUGCCUAUAAAAUUGUGUGGAAAAAUAUUGUGACUUAAUAAUAAUAUAUAUAUCCAACUGAUAUGAGUUUCAAGUAUUAAGACAAUGAAUAGAUAUCCUCAAACAUCACUCAACUCAAGGAAAUAACAUUUAGUGACUCCUGGAAAAUUUUCCUGCUGGCCAAAUGCAGAUAAUUCAGUGUUAAAUCAGAAUGCAGAACCCUGAAAAGGAGAAACUGUGGGUGAGGAUUUACUUAAUUUUCAUUUAGUAUUGAGACUAAGUAAGUAAGUAAGUAAGACUUAGUAUUGAGACUAAGAACAUGUGGGGAUUGAGAUUACAGAACAAAAUAUAGUUGUACCACACCUUGACAAUGUAAAAAUAGUAAUGUAAGUAAUAAUAUUGAUGAAAGAAGAGGUGGGACGAAGUAUGAAAGUACUAAUUUCCUUAUCAUUUCUGUACUCAAUCAUUAAAUAUUUGGCACCUAUAACUGUGUUAUAAAUUUUCUUUCAGGAGUACUACAUUCUAGGGGAGGGGAGAGAGAGAAAGAACGAGAGAUAGAGCACAUUUAAAAUGUAAAUAAUUUUAUUUAGUGGAUGUAUGCUUUAAAGGAAUCAAAUCAGGAUAAUGAGAUAGCAACACAUAUGAGAAGGGAGAGAUAAAUUAGCUAGAGCAUCAAAGAAGAAGUCUGUGGGAAGGAAAUUUACUGUCUAAAUGUCUAACCUACUGUUACAAAUAAUAAUGAGUGUGCCCUCUUAAUGUUUUGAGCUAUAUCUUCCCUUAAGGUUUUACAAUACUAUGUCCUGAGUGAAGACAUAUUGAAAAAAAAUCAUUGAAUCAUUUAGUUUUACCUCAGAUUCACCCCAGUCUUUUCUUCUGUUGUUUCACUAAAAUUAUAAUAAAUACUAUUUAUCAAAAUAGCA
rnacentral:lncRNA from 12 species